CUAUUGCCCGCAGCACCGUAAGCGCGGCCUUCGGGCUGCUGCUGCCCGCACGGCUUCCCGUCUACCGAGAGCUCUCGAGGAGAAAGCACGAAGUGGCCAAGGAAGGAGGCGAUUCGGUCUGCUGAAAAAUGGCUUCGUAUCCACCCCUGACCCAAAAGGCAGCAAAAACCCCCAGUGAGCAUACCCCUUUUUGCACUGCGGAGCUGGUUUUUUCAUCUGAGAGACACGAGGAAAAAGCAUUGUUUUGUUAGCAAUCAGUGAGCAAUCUUUGCAUCCCUGAAAUCAGACCGGGGCAAUGUUCUGCACGGCUGUCUCCUGCGGUCUGGCUCCUGACAUGCUGAGUUCUGGAAAACUUUCUCACUAUGAGACUCCACCAGGGAAUGAUCUGUCUCACAGACUGGAAGCCUCACAGUUUUCCCUGGUUUCCUGAAGAAGCAGCAUUUGCAGCAGUUCUGUUUCAGCUCUUCAGGACACGGGCUAUCUUUGAGGACAAUCUUCUGACACCUGAUUCUUGGAAUAAAGGACUAUCUGACUGCAACACCAUUGAUUAGCGAUGGACUAAGCUCGCCCAGCAGUGUGAACAAAUUGCCUGGAAAUGUCGUCAUCAGGCUUCAACUGGCACUAUCUCCCUUUCUGUCUGGGUCAUUGAUUUCCUCAUCUCCUUUGCCUUAAAACUCACAUCAUACAUCAAUUUCUGAGUCUCCAGCACUGAAGCAGCUGCACUGUGCCUUUCCUGCUCAACACCAGCAGCUUUCAGCCUCUGAAGUGUCCUUUACUGAUGCUCGUCUGAAGACCUCCUGAAUGUGCCUCAAGUGGCCUCCCUGCCUGCUACAUAAAAGCCUCUGCUCUGCCAGCUUUUGUUUCAUCACAAGAGGGCUUAGAGCUGUUCUGCUCUCGGAAAUUGGGUAAAAUUUGGUCUCCUUCCUACAAUGACUCAGUGUGCUGGAGAAAUGACUCCUGCCUUGUGCGAGCAGCUAUGGCAGGGCACCGAGCUGUGCCAGCCUCUGCUAGCCACCAGCUACCCUCAGGAGAGCCCCUCAGCCAGCAAGGAGCUGGGGCUGCUCUGCACACGGGUCUUAUGAUUGCUAAAUGUAGAGUCCAUUGAUAAAUAAAGCAAAUGCACAAAGUGUGCAAG
rnacentral:lncRNA from 7 species